CAGCACAGGUACCAGCUCCCCAGCUCCCCACCUCGAGUCCAUUCCUGUUUGGAAACCUCUUCCAACCACAGCGGGAACAAAGGUGGAUCUCUGUCCUGCCUCUGGGGGCUAGGCUGGUUGGUGGCUUCAGGCCCAGCCAGAAAGUCCCUGCCUCACACUCCGGCAGUCCCCGGACCUGGGAGCCUCUCACACCCCCGCCCAGGCUCCCCUGGGGCCUCCACCUUCCUCGGCAGUCUCCCCUCCUCGUGCAAGGCGCAGGCCGCCUGCCUGGAGCGGGGACCCUCUGGAUCUCAGGAUAAACAAACCAUCGCUCUGGCCCAGCCCUCCGCCGGCUCGCGCUCCCCGCCCCCUCCUGCCGCAGUGCACAGCCGCUCUGCCGCUCUGCUCCGCUGCCAACUUGGCAGCUCGUCUCUGCUGUUACUAUCAACACCUCCGAGGGAAAAGAGAGAGAACUCAGCUCUCUCUGAUCGCUUGGCGCACCGAGCAGCGAAUUCGUGUCAGAGCCAGCCCUGGAAUACCUCCGAAGCUCCCAAGACUUCCUUGGCGUGGAAGAAAAGGAACCCUUCUCCCAUAUGUGAAACUGAUCUGAGACCCC
rnacentral:lncRNA from 1 species